AGAUGUUUGAGUUGAUAACCUUUAAAGCAGGGCUGUCCAACCUGCGGCCCCCCAGAUGUUGCUGAACUACAACUCCCAUGAUUCCCUGGCUAUCUUUUUAAUUGAAAGAAUCAUGGGAGUUGUAGUUCAGCAACAUCUGGGGGGCCGCAGGUUGGACAGCCCUGCCUUAAAGCAUCUACACCACAGAGCUCU